rnacentral:rRNA from 1 species
UACGUAGGUGGCAAGCGUUGUCCGGAUUUACUGGGCGUAAAGGGCGCGUAGGCGGUUCGGUAAGUCCUGUGUGAAAUCCCUCGGCUCAACUGAGGAACUGCACGGGAGACUGCCGGGCUUGAGUUCGGGAGAGGGAAGCGGAAUUCCGGGUGUAGCGGUGAAAUGCGUAGAUAUCCGGAGGAACACCGGUGGCGAAGGCGGCUUCCUGGACCGACACUGACGCUGAGGCGCGAAAGCUAGGGGAGCAAACGGG